UACAUAGGGUGCAAGCGUUGUCCGGAAUUAUUGGGCGUAAAGAGCUCGUAGGUGGUUUGAUACGUCGGGUGUGAAAUUCAGGGGCUCAACCCCUGACCUGCAUUCGAUACGGUCAAGCUAGAGUUUGGUAGGGGGAGACUGGAAUUCCUGGUGUAGCGGUGGAAUGCGCAGAUAUCAGGAGGAACACCAAUGGCGAAGGCACAUCUCUGGGCCGUAACUGACGCUGAGGAGCGAAAGCGUGGGGAGCGAACAGG
rnacentral:rRNA from 1 species